AGAGUUUGAUCCUGGCUCAGAACGAACGCUGGCGGCAGGCUUAACACAUGCAAGUCGAGCGCCCCGCAAGGGGAGCGGCAGACGGGUGAGUAACGCGUGGGAAUCUACCUUUUGCUACGGAAUAACUCAGGGAAACUUGUGCUAAUACCGUAUGUGCCCUUCGGGGGAAAGAUUUAUCGGCAAAGGAUGAGCCCGCGUUGGAUUAGCUAGUUGGUGAGGUAAAGGCUCACCAAGGCGACGAUCCAUAGCUGGUCUGAGAGGAUGAUCAGCCACACUGGGACUGAGACACGGCCCAGACUCCUACGGGAGGCAGCAGUGGGGAAUAUUGGACAAUGGGCGCAAGCCUGAUCCAGCCAUGCCGCGUGAGUGAUGAAGGCCCUAGGGUUGUAAAGCUCUUUCACCGGUGAAGAUAAUGACGGUAACCGGAGAAGAAGCCCCGGCUAACUUCGUGCCAGCAGCCGCGGUAAA
rnacentral:rRNA from 1 species